GUGCACGCUGGCGGUAGGCCUAACACCUGCAAGUCGAACGGCAGCACAGUAAGAGCUUGCUCUUACGGGUGGCGAGUGGCGGACGGGUGAGGAAUACAUCGGAAUCUACUUUUUCGUGGGGGAUAACGUAGGGAAACUUACGCUAAUACCGCAUACGACCUACGGGUGAAAGCAGGGGAUCUUCGGACCUUGCGCGAUUGAAUGAGCCGAUGUCGGAUUAGCUAGUUGGCGGGGUAAAGGCCCACCAAGGCGACGAUCCGUAGCCGGUCUGAGAGGAUGAUCAGCCACACUGGAACUGAGACACGGUCCAGACUCCUACGGGAGGCAGCAGUGGGGAAUAUUGGACAAUGGGCGCAAGCCUGAUCCAGCCAUACCGCGUGGGUGAAGAAGGCCUUCGGGUUGUAAAGCCCUUUUGUUGGGAAAGAAAAGCAGCAGGUUAAUACCCCGCUGUUCUGACGGUACCCAAAGAAUAAGCACCGGCUAACUUCGUG
rnacentral:rRNA from 1 species